rnacentral:rRNA from 1 species
AACGAACGCUGGCGGCGUGUUUAAGACAUGCAAGUCGCACGGGACUAUUUGAGUAGCAAUACAAGGAUAGUUUAGUGGCGCACGGGUGAGUAACACGUGAAUUACAUGCCCUGCAGAGGGGGAUAGCCCAGGGAAACUUGGAUUAAUACCCCAUGGUAUCGCGAGAUUAAAGGUGGCCGCAAGGCUGUCGCUGCAGGAUUGGUUCGCGCCCUAUCAGCUUGUUGGUGAGGUAACGGCUCACCAAGGCUACGACGGGUACCUGGUCUGAGAGGACGAUAAGGCACACUGGAACUGAGACACGGUCCAGACACCUACGGGUGGCAGAAGUAGAGAAUAAGUCACAAUGGGGGCAACCCUGAUGGUGCAACGCCGCGUGGAGGAUGACGGUCUUCGGAUUGUAAACGCCUGUCAUCCGGGAGUAAGACCUGGCGAUGAAUAGUCGACAGGGUUGAUAGUACCGGGAGAGGAAGGGACGGCUAACUUCGUGCCAGCCGCCGCGGUAA